UACGUAGGGUGCAAGCGUUAAUCGGAAUUACUGGGCGUAAAGCGUGCGCAGGCGGUGAUGUAAGACAGAUGUGAAAUCCCCGGGCUCAGCCUGGGAACUGCAUUUGUGACUGCAUCGCUGGAGUACGGCAGAGGGGGAUGGAAUUCCGCGUGUAGCAGUGAAAUGCGUAGAUAUGCGGAGGAACACCGAUGGCGAAGGCAAUCCCCUGGGCCUGUACUGACGCUCAUGCACGAAAGCGUGGGGAGCAAACAGG
rnacentral:rRNA from 1 species